AGCAGCAAUUGCAAUCUAAAAUACUACUCUGCAAAAAACAUUUCAUGUAUUUUCAGGAAUUUAUUGUUCAUUUACAGUCUAAGUUAACUGACUGUGGUGCUCAGCACUACACAGGUGACUCAGUUUUCCUCCUUGCUCCUUCAGAAACAAGCUAGUUAAAAAGCUUCCUGGUCAGCCUGUGAAAGAUGCACUGCAAUGACUACAUAAAAUGCUACUGAGAUUAUCGGAAGAGCAAAC